rnacentral:lncRNA from 1 species
CCAAGGAGGAGGACAGCCAGACAGAUGACAGAAAAAGACAUGCAUGUCUUUGUCGCUGUGCUCAGCAACUGAAGAGGAAAUCUUCCAUUGGGAGAAAGGGGUUGAGCAGAAUAAGACGGCAGUUCAGAGUGAACUGGGGUUUCCAUUCAACCCCGAACCUGAGGAAUUCAAGCCUGAACGAGCACUGAAGUUGAAGUAACUUCUCAAAGGCAAUGUUUGGUCUCUUCAUCUCUGUGUGCCCUCUUUAGUUAUUUCUCUCUGAAGUUCAGGUAAGCUGUUUUACAGAUGGUUGUUUUACAGUUUUUCCCACCCAGUGUGGAAGUAAUAUAAGAUCUUUCC